rnacentral:rRNA from 1 species
GCCAGAGCCAUAUCAACCUCCAGUUCUCAUCUGUUGUCCCAUUGAAACUAAGCAGGGUUGUGCCUGGCUAGCACCUGGAUGGGAGACCUCCUGCGGGAAACUAAGGUUGCUGCUGGAA